GAGGGAUACCGGCGAGAAAUACGCCGACCAAGCCCGCCAUACGCUCUGUGCCUCUCUCGCGAGAGAGAGGGAGAGAGGAAAGCCUGCGAGGGCGCUCUGGGAGGGGCCUGUGGCCGAUUAGCUAGCUGGUGGGGUAAAGGCUCACCAGGGCGACGAUCGGUAGCUGGUCUGAGAGGACGAGCAGCCACACUGGGAUUGAGAACGGCCCAG
rnacentral:rRNA from 1 species